GAGAAUUUCGGAGUCUACAAGUAUCUCUUGUAUGGGCCACUAGUAGGGAAGGUCAUAUACUCUCGAGCAUGGGAGGGUGGGAGCUCCGAUGCAUGGUGCUUUCACAUCCUGGUGCUCUGUGCGCUUAGGGGGUUGGUUCACCAGCUCUGGUGCAGCUUCAGCAACAUGCUGUUCCUCACCAGGCGGCGGAGGAUAAUACAGGACGGAGUUGAUUAUGAGCAGAUAGACAAGGAGUGGGAUUGGGACAAUUUUCUGAUUUUGCAUGCUUUAAUUGGAGCAAUGACAUGUUACUUCUUCCCAUCAAUCAAGGAUCUCCCAAAAUGGGACCUCAGUGGGGCUGUUGCAGCUCUUGUGAUCCAUGUUGGGGUGUCGGAGCCUCUCUUCUACUUGGCUCACAGGAUAUUCCACACACGCCAAAUUUUUGCCGACUAUCACUACCUCCACCACUCCACCCGCGUGCCAACGCCUUUCACAGCUGGAUUUGCGACUCCUCUGGAGCACUUGGUCUUGAGUGUAGUGAUGCUCGCACCCCUCGUUGGAGCUGCGAUGAUCGGGUCGGGAUCGGCUGGACUGAUAUAUGGAUACGUCUUGCUCUUUGAUUUCUUGAGGUGUAUUGGGCACUGCAAUGUGGAGGUGUUUUCUCAUAGGAUGUUUGAGGUCUUGCCUCUCCUCAGAUACCUCAUCUACACACCAACGUACCAUAGCCUUCACCAUACUGAGAAAAACACAAACUAUUGCCUAUUUAUGCCUCUUUUUGAUGCCUUGGGAGGAACAAUCCAUCCAAAGUCUUGGGUGUUACAGAGAGAGAUAAGUUCAGGAAAGAAUGAUCGAGUCCCAGAUUUUGUGUUUCUAGCCCACGUUGUGGACGUGAUGUCGAGUUUACACGUACAUUUCGUGUUUCGUACCUUUGCUUCAACUCCCUUCAGGAUCCGUCUAUGGUUGUUGCCUUUGUGGCCGGGAGCUUUUAUCGUUAUGCUCAUGAUGUGGGCAUGGUCCAAGACUUUCCUUGUUGCCUUCUACAACAUCCGUGGGCGACACCAUCAGAUUUGGGUGGUUCCCCGAUACGGUUUCCAGUACUUCUUACCCUUUGCAAAAGACAGCAUCAAUGAGCAGAUAGAGCUGGCAAUCCUGAGAGCAGAUAAGAUGGGGGUGAAGGUUCUCAGCCUUGCAGCACUUAAUAAGAAUGAAACUUUAAAUGGAGGUGGAACACUAUUUGUGAGCAAACACCCAGAACUAAAAGUGCGAGUCGUGCACGGUAACACUCUAACCGCAGCUGUCAUCCUCAACAAGAUCCCGAAAGAUGUUACGGAGGUAUUCCUCACUGGCGCCACCUCCAAGCUUGGAAGAGCGAUUGCCUUAUACCUAUCUCGAAAGAAAAUCAGGGUUAUGAUGCUCACUCUAUCAACUGAAAGAUUUCAGAAGGUUCAGAAGGAAGCACCAAUAGAGUUCCAACAGUAUCUGGUUCAAGUAACCAAGUAUCAAGCUGCUCAGAAUUGCAAGACAUGGAUUGUGGGCAAGUGGAUAACUCCGAUGGAGCAACUCUGGGCACCACCUGGCACACACUUCCAUCAGUUCGUCGUCCCUCCGAUCCUCGGCAUUAGAAGAGACUGCACCUACGGAAAGCUCGCUGCAAUGAAGCUGCCUCAGGAUGUACAAGGGUUAGGCAUGUGUGAGUACACAUUGGAGCGGGGAGUAGUUCACGCUUGUCAUGCCGGUGGGGUGGUGCACUCCUUGGAAGGAUGGACACAUAAUGAGGUCGGUGCAAUCGACGUUGAUCUUAUCGACGUUGUUUGGGAAGCAGCAAUGAAGCAUGGCCUAACACCAGUAUGAAACGAGAACCAUUUCGGCCCCAUACAACUUAUCAAUCUUUUGGUUUUAUUUUUCUUUCCUUGGUAUACCACAGGGUUAUAACUCAUUAUUCUCUGAUUAGAUGACGAGGAAAUGGUUUUAUUUUUCUUUCCAUAGUAUGUACCACAGAGAUAUAACUCAUUAUUCAUUAGUUUCUAAAAGAAUGAUGAUGAAUUGUUAUUCGUGAGUGUUGU
rnacentral:misc_RNA from 1 species